UUCUUUCUCUUUUCUCCCUUUCUCUCUUUUCUCUCUUUCUCCCCACGGGUCACUAAACAACCUGUGGAGUCACAGAGUGGCCUUGCCAGAACCACAUGACAUUAGCACAGAUGGCCUUGACCACGUUAAUGACAUUUCCAUGGCAAGAUCCAUAUCAUUGACAUUUCUUGCAAUCCCAGAAGCUGCAAGCAGCAUGAAGUUCUCUAAACAGGACUGACCUGACAGAAAAGCCCCCACGUGUCCAGCACAGUGCAGGACCCCAGACAUUCAGAGCAGCAUUCCCAGCAUGAAUCAGACACAUCCACAUCCUCUGGCACUGCUGGAGAUGGAGAACAUCAUCCAAAACUGUGCAUGGAAUCACCACCAGGAUCAUCCCAAGCUCUGUGAGGUCCAGGGAGGGGAUUCUCCUCUUUGCUCUCAUGAGAUCCCACCCAGAGUGCUGUGCCCAGUUUGGAUGUCCCAAGAUCAGAAGGAUCUGGAACUGUUGGAGCAAGUCCAGAGGAGGCCAUGAGCUCCCUAAAAAGAGAUGUGACUCUCUGCAAGUGAUGCUUCCAAUGCAUAAGGAGCUCUGGCCCCGGAGCCUGGUCAGGGGCAGCUCAAUAAUAACGAUCUAAGGCUGGUCUUCAGUAGAGACUCAACAGCUGACAGCUCUUCUGUUCAAACUGACAAGGGCACAAAGGAAGGCUUGAAUAAUUAAUUGCUGCAGGAUGAGCCCUCCAUGGGAUGGAAGGUGGGGAAGGAGAGCCCUGAUCACACGUGAGUGAAUAGGACUCUGUGCAAAAACCCAGCCUAGCCUCUAUGAAAAGUACUUUUAAAUUCUAUUACAUGGAUGUAGCCAUCAAUAAAAUAAGUAAAAGAAAAAAGGAUGGAAAAAAAUGUGGGACGUUAGCAAAGGUAACAGCUAUUCACUUAUUAACUUCUUCCUACCACAAAAAAAAAAAAAACCCAAACACACAAAAAACCCCCCCAAAACUCUAAAGCCCUAAAAGACCAAAAAAACCUCCCAGCAAAUGAUAACAAUUAUCUUAGGAAUGUAUUUGGGCAUAUUUGCAUAAUAAACGAAAAUAAAUGAAAUCCAAAAAGACCCAAACCAAACCAAAAAAAAGUCCUAAAAGACCCAAAAACUCAGCCACCAACCCCUGGAAAAAAUAAAACAAAAACAAAACCAAACCAACCCUAAAAAAAAAUCAAAACCCCAACACCUUUCUCACUUCAUUUCAUUUUUCAGCUAACUUUUCAUAGACCAAUUUCCCACUUAAAUAGAAACUGCAGACACCUGAACAUUCAGAGCCAAGUCAUAUGAUAAACACCAUCUCAAACAUAAUCUGCAUUCAUUAUUAAAUGAAUAGAUAUUAUUAAUUAUAAAAUAAUAAUGAAAUAUUUUUUAAAAUAAUUAUAAAAUAGUAAAAAAUAUAAAAUCAUUUUUAAUAGGGACAUAUAUGUUAACAUGCAUGACUUCAGCAUUGUCUUUAACUCAGAUGCCGCUUUCUCAGCAGGCACAAUAAAUCUUUGCUGAACUCAUUCACCACAAUUGGGUGACAAAAAGAGUGGGUGUCCAAUAAUUUCUGGUUGCUAAAGUUCUUUGAAUAAGAGGAGGAAAGGCCACCAUGUCAAGCUGCCCAAGGUCUGCAAAUGUGUAGUUAAAUGCUGGUUUUGGGUUUUGAAGGAGUAUUUGCUGCAGUGAACUGUGCUUACAAUGGUAAACUGCACCUUGGGAAACUGAAAAUCUCUCUGUGAUUAAUAAAAAGUAUUUUCUGUGAGAGCCAAGCUCCUCUCUCCCCUUAUUCAGACAAAAUUCCCCUGGGGUUUUACUCUGGAUGGAAAGACUGACUGAGCAAGGAGUGAAUAUUUCAAAGUUUGUUUGAUAACUCAUUUUCUGAGCAACAGCCAGCACUUAAAUGAAAGAAUCUGAUUGUUCAGGGAGUCCUGAUCAUUGCACUGUGUUCUAAUCCCAGCUCAUGGUCUAUAGAACUGACAGAGUCUCCAGUGCUUAAUUAUAAGAAGAAACCUGUCUCUAUAAAAUACGACUUAUGUUUAAGGUCAACACUGGCUCUUAAAAGAAAUUAAGUUUUGAAGAAGAAAUCAAGAUACCUGGAAAUAAAAUAUUAAUAAGAUGCUAAAAUUUUAAGUUACCUUAUUUUUUCCUUUCAAACAACCAAUACUCUGUGGAGAGGCAUCACCUGUUUCUACCAGAUUGUACCCUGUGGCACAUAUUAGGAUUGCUGAAAAAAGUAUUUUCCAACACUUUUAGGAGCAAUAUUUCCUUUGACUAUAACCUCUGUUAAAUAUUUAUACAUUAAUCUUAAUUUUUAUGUAGGAAAAUAUCCUAUAUAUGCAUGUGUGCACAUGCAUGUCCCCAUCAUGUGGGUGAUAAAUAAUAGAAGGUCCCUCUUUAUGAUAAAUUAUGGAUGGGAUUUAUAAUAUAUGAAUUAAAGUUAACUGCAGGAAAAAUCAUUCACAUACAAGAAGCUGGGGGAAGAACUAAACCCUGCAAGAGAGAGGUGGCAAACAAUUCAUGUUUUACUUCAGAAAAGCAGAUCUGAGGAUUCCAUAAUGGUGCAGCUUUCUCUGCUAUGUUUGUGGAAACAUUUUCCACCAAAGAAACAAAUAAAUGAAAUAAAUAAAUAUGGAAAAUUUAAAUGUCACUGGACUGAAAUUCUAUUGACAAUUUGGCAGGUACAAGGAAGAGCUGCAGAAAUUGCUCAAGAGAUGAAAGCCCAGUUUUAAAAUGGUGGGAUAAGGAAACAAAGACAGCUGUUAUGAAAUAACAGUUCAGUUAUGAAAAAGGAGCAAAUAAAGAGAAAUAACAACUGUCUGAAAGAUGAAGGAAAAGACCUUUAAAUUAUUAGGUCAGUUCAUAUCUUCAUAUCUUAUCAGAAAGUGAAAACAGAAUCAAUUGAGCAUAGGCAGAAGAUGGAAAAUUCAAGCAUCAAGGUAUUCACAAAAAGGAUCACAGUUCAUGGAGAAAUUACAAAGUGGAUACAGGAACUCUCUGGUAAAUUCCAAACAAAAAUAGGGAAGGACAAAAACAUCUAAAAGGGGGAAAACAAACAAAAAAAAAAAAACAAAAACCCCAACCAAAACCAAUCCAGGACAUUUGUCUUUCUUACGGGAAUUUCCACACUUUGACUGAACAAGAAUUGUGUCAACAGGUGCUGUCAGCCCAAUCCAGCAUCACAUGAACCAACCUCAAAAAAAAUUUGAUAUUUAGAGGAAUCAGGAAAAUAAAUGUGUAUUCAUUUUAGAUCUAGAUCAGUCUUUCCCCUAAUUUCUGAAAUUCCUGGUUUCAGUCUGGAUUAGGACCCAAUCUAUGUUAGAAAAUUAGCAGAGGUACUUAUGAUUUCCUAUAAUUUUAUUCUUUCAGAAUUACAAAAGCAUAAAUUCUCUUCUUUUUUUUUUUUAACUUAACUCAUUUUCAUGUUAAUAUAAAUCUGUAUUUUGCUCAUUUUUUCUCACUGGUCCACUUCACUUUUUUUUUUUUGUGAAGUGGCUACAGAUGUCUUUUCAAGAACAUGUU